rnacentral:lncRNA from 1 species
CGACGGAGGUAGGCUUACGAGGCCUGUGUCGGGUAGAAAGGGUCCUUCCUGGACCGGGACCCUCUGCCACGACCAUGGACCGUAGGAAAAAGCCUUUGGACGUCACGGCCUCCUCGUGGUAGAUCUUAAGGCUGAACUCUUCCGAAAGCAAGAAGAAUUCAAACAAGAAAAACUUCUAAAAGAUUCUGGAGUUUUUGGAAAACCAAAAACAACUAACAAGAACCAAGUAUCUGGAGCAAACAGAAUGUAGGCGUUUCAAAUCGAGCUGAGAAGGAUGCUGAACAGAAGAUUGAAGAACAGAAGACUUUAGACAAAGCAAGGUAAAGUUAUAAGCUCUGGUAAAUAUAGUUAG